rnacentral:tRNA from 1 species
GGCCUAUUAGCUCAGUGGUUAGAGCAGCAUCCUUAUAAGAUGUGUGUCUCGGGUUCAAGUCCCGGAUAGGCUA